rnacentral:rRNA from 1 species
UGAGUAACCUGCCCUUCACUCUGGGAUAACUCCGGGAAACCGGGGCUAAUACUGGAUAUGACUCGAACAGGCAUCUGUUUCGGGUGGAAAGAUUUAUUGGUGGAGGAUGGACUCGCGGCCUAUCAGCUUGUUGGUGAGGUAAUGGCUCACCAAGGCGACGACGGGUAGCCGGCCUGAGAGGGCGAUCGGCCACACGUGGGACUGAGACACCGGCCCCAGACCUCCCGUAACGGGGAGGCCA